rnacentral:rRNA from 1 species
GACGAACGCUGGCGGCGUGCUUAACACAUGCAAGUCGAACGGAAAGGCCUGCUUUCCCUUGUGGAUUGCGGGUACUCGAGUGGCGAACGGGUGAGUAACACGUGAGUGAUCUGCCCCCAACUUGGGUAUAAGCCUGGGAAACUGGGUCUAAUUCCCGAUAGGACUGCAGGGUGGUGCCUGUGGUGGAAAACGAUUUUCUAGUGGUUGGGGAUGAGCUCGCGGCCUAUCAGCUUGUUGGUGGGGUAAUGGCCUACCAAGGCGGCGACGGGUAGCCGGCCUGAGAGGGGGGACGGCCACAUUGGGACUGAGAUACGGCCCAGACUCCUACGGGAGGCAGCAGUGGGGAAUAUUGCACAAUGGGCGGAAGCCUGAUGCAGCGACGCCGCGUGGGGGAUGACGGCCUUCGGGUUGUAAACUCCUUUCGACCGAGAGGAAGCCACCUGGUUGGAAGGGUGGUGACGGUAGUGGUAGAAGAAGCACCGGCUAACUACGUG